UACGAAGGGUGCAACCGUUGCUCGGAAUUAUUGGGCGUAAAGCGCACGUAGGCGGCAUUGCAAGUCGGAUGUGAAAUCCCUCGGCUUAACCAAGGAAGUGCAUCCGAAACUGCUGUGCUUGAGUACUUAAGAGGAUCGCGGAAUUCCCGGUGUAGAGGUGGAAUUCGUAGAUAUCGUGAGGAAGACCAGUGGCGAAGGCGGGUCUCUGGACAGUUCCUGACGCUGAGGCGCGAAGGCCAGGGGAGCAAACGGG
rnacentral:rRNA from 1 species